rnacentral:rRNA from 1 species
UACGAAGGGGGCGAGCGUUGUUCGGAAUUACUGGGCGUAAAGCGCGCGCAGGCGGAUGUUUAAGUAGGGCGUGAAAUCUCCCGGCCUAACUGGGAGGGGUCGCUCUAGACUGGGCGUCUUGAGGACUGCAGAGGUGGGUGGAAUUCCUGGUGUAGUGGUGAAAUGCGUAGAGAUCAGGAGGAACACCGGUGGCGAAGGCGGCCCACUGGGCAGUCACUGACGCUGAGGCGCGAAAGCUCGGGGAGCGAACGGG